GGGCUGGUAGCUCAGCUGGUAGAGCAGGGGCCUCUUAAGCCCAAGGUCGUGGGUUCGACCCCCACCCAGCCCA
rnacentral:tRNA from 1 species